CCCAAGGUGAGAGAGGAGUAUGUGCACUGAUGUGGUUUGAGGCCCACCUGCAAGAGCUCCUCUGUGCAAACCCAUUUAUCCCCAGAGAAAAUAUUCAAUGGCUGUAGCUGGAUGAGUUCUCAUCUCUACUGUAUGCAACCAAGCCCAACUAGGUCUCUAGGCCAUCUGGAUGCCACCCACUGAGAGUCUUUUCAGGACUUAGUGAUUUGGUACUGCUUAUUUCCACCUUCUCUGAGAAUGGAGCCUCAGAGUAGAGACCAGAUUGAAAAGUCUGAAAACUCUCUUUUGCUUCUGGAACCAUGAAAGCAGGAUCUCUUCCAGGAUGCCACAGUACAGUUGAUGGUCAUAUCUCCUCUUGGCUGUGACAGUUACUCAGACUUUCCUUAUUUUUGAUGACCUUGACAGUUUUUUUGAGGAGUACUGGUCAGGGUCAGUUUUGGCUGAGGAAUGAAGACAAUGGCCACCACAUUCCAAGAUACCACCAGGACAGUAAUUCUCAGUUGACUGUGGAAAACCUGAAGGGAAGAGUCACUGACAUGGAAGUUCGGCACUGCUUUGAUCAAGAGGCAGGAUGUAGAGUAGAAGCACUGCUUUGGAGUCAUGGAAACUCAGUUUCAACAUUGACUACUUCUUGCUGGCUGCAGAAGGUGGCACGCAUUACUUCACUUCCCCCACACCAAGUCUGUAUAGCUAUUACUUACCAGCUUGGCGGCGGUUACUCUGUUUGCUGCUCACAUUGUCACACGUUUGACUAGCAGGGGCCUCUUUGAGCUGCUUCCAGUGCCCUUUUGAAACGGUCUUAUCUUUGAGCUCUUCCCUGCUUUCUGACACUGCAUGACGUCUCAGGCUCGUCUUGUGUCUUCUCUGCUGCCGAACGAGAUCUGGAAUUGGCCAUUUUCCCAAGAAACUCUAUACCUUCCAGUGGGGUUUGGAAUUGGAGGCCAAAAUCUAGGGCUUGGUCAUUUAUUUCUACUGGUCAUUUUAGUUAGCAUUAUGUGACUAGGAAAACAGAAUGGGUGUUUUCAUGUAUUAAUCAGAAGAACAUCAGUGAUUUAUUGAUAAAUGAUAAAAGCAAAUUGUGGAGUAAUAUAAUACUAUUUUGAAAAGAAGUUAAAAGGAAAUAGGCACAUAUUACAAUGAGUCAAAGAAAGGUGUAGAAGGAUAUGUAGAAACUGCUAACAAAAUUGUGGGAUUUGGGAAGAGUUAGGAUAUUAUUUUUAUUUAUAGAGCUUAGU